rnacentral:rRNA from 1 species
UAGGGAAUCUUCCGCAAUGGGCGAAAGCCUGACGGAGCAACGCCGCGUGAGUGAUGAAGGUCUUCGGAUUGUAAAACUCUGUUAUUAGGGAAGAACAAACGUGUAAGUAACUGUGCACGUCUUGACGGUACCUAAUCAGAAAGCCACGGCUAACUACGUGCCAGCAGCCGCGGUAAUACGUAGGUGGCAAGCGUUAUCCGGAAUUAUUGGGCGUAAAGCGCGCGUAGGCGGUUUUUUAAGUCUGAUGUGAAAGCCCACGGCUCAACCGUUGAGGGUCAUUGGAAACUGGAAAACUUGAGUGCAGAAGAGGAAAGUGGAAUUCCAUGUGUAGCGGUGAAAUGCGCAGAGAUAUGGAGGAACACCAGUGGCGAAGGCGACUUUCUGGUCUGUAACUGACGCUGAUGUGCGAAAGCGUGGGGAUCAAACA